rnacentral:rRNA from 1 species
UACGUAGGGGGCUAGCGUUGUCUGGAUUUAUUGGGCGUAAAGAGCUCGUAGGUGGUUCGGUAAGUCGGAUGUGAAAUCUCCAGGCUCAACCUGGAGGGGUCAUUCGAUACUGCCGUGACUAGAGUUCGGUAGAGGAGUGUGGAAUUCCUGGUGGAGCGGUGAAAUGCGCAGAGAUCAGGAAGAACACCUAUGGCGAAGGCAGCUCUCUGGGACGGUACUGACGCUGAGACGCGAAAGCGUGGGGAGCGAACAGG